GGGAACAUACCCUUUUCUACGGAAUAGCUCUGGGAAACUGGAAUUAAUACCGUAUACGCCCUACGGGGGAAAGAUUUAUCGGGGAAGGAUUGGCCCGCGUUGGAUUAGCUAGUUGGUGGGGUAAAGGCCUACCAAGGCGACGAUCCAUAGCUGGUCUGAGAGGAUGAUCAGCCACAUUGGGACUGAGACACGGCCCAAACUCCUACGGGAGGCAGCAGUGGGGAAUAUUGGACAAUGGGCGCAAACCUGAUCCAGCCAUGCCGCGUGAGUGAUGAAGGCCUUAGGGUUGUAAAGCUCUUUCACCGAUGAAGAUAAUGACGGUAGUCGGAGAAGAAGCCCCGGCUAACUUCGUGCCAGCAGCCGCGGUAAUACGAAGGGGGCUAGCGUUGUUCGGAAUUACUGGGCGUAAAGCGCACGUAGGCGGAUAUUUAAGUCAGGGGUGAAAUCCCAGAGCUCAACUCUGGAACUGCCUUUGAUACUGGGUAUCUUGAGUAUGGAAGAGGUAAGUGGAAUUGCGAGU
rnacentral:rRNA from 1 species